GUUAGGGUUAAUUUUCAGAGGGAAGAAAACGGCAACCAUCCUCAAGGAGAAGCCGACUACAGAGAUGCUUGAGAGUGAGAGAAGCAAUCGUGGUUGCUAACGGUACCAGAACAUUGACAACCAAAGAAGCUGAUUUCUUCAUCUUCGUAGAUGAAAGCUAGGGUUUGAUUAGCUGCCACUCGAAAAUUUCCAGAUGGAGAGCUUAGAUGCUUGAGAGUGAGAGAAGCAAACAUGACCAGAACAUUGACGGCCAAAGAAGCCAACAUGCAAAUGACAUUGGCAGCGGAUGUCCAUCUCAGAACGAAAAACUGGGCUUAAGUUAGGAUUGUCAGUCUCUGCAUCUGUUGAUACAAAUACAAUAAACUUCCCCUUUGGACAACAUUGUGAGAAUAAGAACUGCAAAACAGAUACCUACACAAGCAACCACAUAUGCUUUAAAUGAGAUAGUCUGUAAAUGAUGUUUGGAAAAAUAUUGCGAGAAUAAUAAGUGCAAAGCACAAACAACCAUAUAUGCUUCAAAUAAGACAGUCUUCAAGUGCUGUGACGACAAUAAUUACCUUGAAUCAUCUCUCAUUACAUAGAAGCUUAAGUUUUUAUUUGUUGUU